UACGUAGGGUGCGAGCGUUGUCCGGAAUUAUUGGGCGUAAAGAGCUCGUAGGCGGUCUGUUGCGUCGGCUGUGAAAACCCGGGGCUCAACUCCGGGCCUGCAGCUGAUACGGGCAGGCUUGAGUCCGGUAGGGGAGCGUGGAAUUCCUGGUGUAGCGGUGAAAUGCGCAGAUAUCAGGAGGAACACCAGUGGCGAAGGCGGUGCUCUGGGCCGGUACUGACGCUGAGGAGCGAAAGCGUGGGGAGCAAACAGG
rnacentral:rRNA from 1 species